rnacentral:rRNA from 1 species
UACGAAGGUGGCAAGCGUUGUUCGGAUUUACUGGGCGUAAAAGCGUGCGCAGGCGGUUCGUUGUGUCGGCGGUGAAAGCCCCGGGCUUAACCUGGGAAUGGCCGUUGAAACUGGCGAACUGGAGUGUGGCAGAGGGGGGUGGAAUUCCGCGUGUAGCAGUGAAAUGCGUAGAGAUGCGGAGGAACACCGAUGGCGGAAGGCAGCCCCCCUGGGCUAACACUGACGCUCAGGCACGAAAGCGUGGGGAGCAAACAGG